rnacentral:rRNA from 1 species
AGAUANCUACCAUGCAGUCGAGCGGUAGAGAGANGCUUGCUUCUCUUGAGAGCGGCGGACGGGUGAGUAAGAAAUAGGAAUCUGCCUGGUAGUGGGGGAUAACGUUCGGAAACGAACGCUAAUACCGCAUACGUCCGUGCGGAGAAAGCAGGGGACCUUCGGGCCUUGCGCUAUCAGAUGAGCCUAGGUCGGAUUAGCUAGUUGGUGAGGUAAUGGCUCACCAAGGCGACGAUCCGUAACUGGUCUGAGAGGAUGAUCAGUCACACUGGAACUGAGACACGGUCCAGACUCCUACGGGAGGCAGCAGUGGGGAAUAUUGGACAAUGGGCGAAAGCCUGAUCCAGCCAUGCCGCGUGUGUGAAGAAGGUCUUCGGAUUGUAAAGCACUUUAAGUUGGGAGGAAGGGCAGUUACCUAAUACGUGAUUGUUUUGACGUUACCGACAGAAUAAGCACCGGCUAACUCUGUGCCAGCAGCCGCGGUAAUACAGAGGGUGCAAGCGUUAAUCGGAAUCGAUGGCGUAAAGCGCGCGUAGGUGGUUUGUUAAGUUGGAUGUGAAAUCCCCGGGCUCAACCUGGGAACUGCAUUCAAAACUGACUGACUAGAGUAUGGUAGAGGGUGGUGGAAUUUCCUGUGUAGCGGUGAAAUGCGUAGAUAUAGGAAGGAACACCAGUGGCGAAGGCGACCACCUGGACUAAUAUUUCCUGAGGUGCGAAAGCGUGGGGAGCAANCAGGAUUAGAUACCCUGGUAGUCCCCGCCGUAANCGAUUGGAAGCCUUGAGCUUUUAUGGNNCANCUAACNAUUAANUUGACCCCUGGGGAGUAC